ensembl:lncRNA
CCUUCCACAAAAUGCCAAAAUGAAAAAUGCCCGUAACACUGUUGCCAAUGGCUUUGAAAGGAAUCUAUCCACCUUUUUGUGGUGGGCUAUACUGCAAUCUAGGUCAUCCCUAUGCUUUCGGCAAUAUGUGAUUUCUGAGAAUCGUUCUCCUAUAGUUCUUAUUGAAGCAAUCAGCAUGCUGCAUCACUCCAAAGGAAUAACUGAUGAAGUCGUCCUCUGUCUCCAGGCUGGAAUGGAGUGGUGCUACCUCGGCUCACUGUAACUUCUGCCUCCCAGGAUCAAGCAAUUCUCCUGUUUAAGCAUCCCGAGCAGUUGGGACUACAGGCAUGCACCACCCCUCUCAGCUAAUUUUUGUAUUUUUUUUUAGUAGAGAUGGGGUUUCACCAUAUUGGUCAGGCUGGUCCCGAACUCCUGACCUCAAUAUCCACUUGCUUCGGCCUUCCAAAGUGCUGGGAUUACAGGCAUGAGCCACGGCGCCCAGUCUAAUGUCAGUAUAUUUAAAAAUAAAAGUUUUGAAUUCUCUAACUGUGGAGGUCAUCUUUGCUCCUCAGUUGCUUUGAGACAUUGUAAAUUCUGGGGCCUAAUUCACAUGGACUGACUUUAGAAUAAUCAAAGGUGAGAUAAAAUACAGAAUGUUUUUUUUAUAGAUUUUUAAUUAUCUUGGGAAAUAAUGAAGUUAUUACUCUCUUAAGAACUAAAAAACAUAACUUCAUUUCCUGAUUGUACUGGAAAAAAACUACCUAUAAGUUAAUUUUACACAUUCCAAUAAUCUUUAUUAAAUGAACUUAUAUGGUAUUUUAAAGUAUCAGUAGUAUAACUUUUUGUUAUGAUUGUAUAUCUCUAAAUAAUCUUAUAUUUAGGAGUACAAGGCAGAUGGGUUUUCUUACACAAUUCAUAAUUUCAAGGAUGUCAACAGAGAAACAAAAAUAUAUAAGGAUAUGUGCAUAGAUUAUAGGAUAUAAUUUUGGAAUUAUAUACAAAUUUCAGAGAGGCACAGAAAAUAUUGGACUGUAUCUGGGAGGAUAAGCACAUCUAGAGAGAGCGUUUAAAAGGUAUUUUUAUUUUUUGCAUUAUAUUGCCACCUAAUGGCCGCAACUGAUAUGAAAAGCAAAGCUUUUAUAACUUUCGAUGUCGGAAAGACUUAAUAGUAAACAAAUAUUGAAAAGAGAGAAGAGAUGCAUACAUUUUGAUGUUAUUUUCUUUUUUCAUUUUCUCUGCUCAUCUGCUAGAGAGGUACUCACUAGUUCUGUGGAAGGCAGGAGGAGAAAUAGUUCAGUCCCUCCCCACUAGCAGUGACUAUGGCUAAAUUUCUGCUUACUUACUUGAAGACAAACAUACAGCAUCAUCAGGAUAUUAAUUUCCUUAUAAAGACGAGACAGUCUAGACAGUAUUUAAUAAGAAUAAGCCUACUAAAUAACUAUAGCUUUUAUGCUAAGUAUUUAUCUUUUUGAUUGCGAGGAGCCCUCAGUUUAGCCGAGAAUUCCCCUGCUGAGCCACCAUAAGAAAAUGGUGCUAAUACAAAAUACAAAUACAAAAGUCUUCUCUAUGCCCUGCUUCUCUAUCUUUUUGCUGUAUCUGACCGUGAUUCAAAUAGUCUCUCCUGUUCAAAUUUCUCAGCUCACAUGAAAAGAGAAAUGCCAAUUCAUUCUAUUACAUGUAGACCAACAUUUCUUGCAUGAUGUUAUAAGCAAUAGAAUUUGAGCUGAAUGAAUAAUGAUCAUAUGUCACAUUACAUAUUUUGAAUUUUAAAAUAAAAAAAUUGUAUUUACAUA